GAUGAACGCUAGCUGGAGGCUUAAUACAUGCAAGUCGAGCGGGAUUGGGUAGCAAUACCCAUGAGAGCGGCGCACGGGUGAGUAACGCGUACACGACCUACCUCUAACAGGGGGAUAGCCCUGGGAAACUGGGAUUAAUACCGCAUAUUAUUCUGAAUAAUAAAGGUUUGGCAUGAAAGCUGAGGCGGUUAGAGAUGGGUGUGCGUCUGAUUAGCUAGUUGGUAGGGUAACGGCCUACCAAGGCGAUGAUCAGUAGGGGGCGUGAGAGCGUGGUCCCCCACACGGGUACUGAGACACGGACCCGACUCCUACGGGAGGCAGCAGUAAGGAAUAUUGGUCAAUGGGCGAAAGCCUGAACCAGCCAUCCAGCGUGCAGGAAGAAGGCCCUAUGGGUUGUAAACUGCUUUUAUCAGGGAAGAAACCUCUGGAUUUACUCCGGAGCUGACGGUACCUGAGGAAUAAGCACCGGCUAACUCCGUGCCAGCAGCCGCCGUAAAAC
rnacentral:rRNA from 1 species